GACUUAAAGUAAAACCCGAAAGCCUUUCCUGUUUGUGCUCAUUCUCGCAAACCCACUCUACGCACUCAUUCUCGCAGCCUUUCCUAUGCUCCUCCUACCCUGUGUCCACCAAAACGCGAACCCAGUCUGCUAUGACGCUCACGCUCACCGUCGUGUCCACCUUCUCGUAAACCCAGUUUGCUGUGAUGCUUUGCCAUGUCCAGGGUACCCACUCAUUUGCUGUACAACAUCCACAGAGUUUUGGUGCACUAACAAGGAAGUAAACAUUUUGGUUAAUGAAGAAGCGCGCUUAGCGCGACAAACCAAGCUUAGUGCACAUGAGGCAGCUUGGAAGGCCUCGUGGCAAGCAUUUGGAGGCUACUGGGAGAAGAUUUGAAAGUUUAGUGUGCACUUAGCGUAAGGUGUGCGCUUAGCCAAUUGUUUCCUUUGCCACUAGUUUGGGCUAAGCAUGCAUCAUGGGCUUAGCUCGCAACCACUUAAACCAGUGUUGUUUUUGUGUAUAUGCUUAGCACGGAUACCAGGCUAAUCGCACAAGUCUUUUUAAGACAAUAUUUUGAAGCAAAAAGUUAAAAAGAAGGAUAAUUUAUUAGGAUUAUUCAUUUACAGGUUGAGAACAAGACAUUUUUGGGGAUGCUCAUGUGCUUCCUUGUUCUCCAUUUUUUUCCUCUUCUUCUCCUUGUAUUUCCAUUCUUGUUUUAGGUCUCUCAUUGAUAUGAAAGGCUAACUUUAUCAUUGUUGGGGGCUUGAAUACCAAAAAAAUUUUGUGAUGUAACUAUUUUUAUUAUCUAUUUAAUGUUAUCUCACUAUUAUGGUUU